ensembl:snoRNA
AGGGUGUGCUCAGAGCAGGUGGCCUGAAGAAUGGCUUCUCUGUUUACAACACCCCCAACAGGAAUCUAGGAUCAUUGUGACAAUGUGAAGCAAAUGUCCUUCACAU